UGUUGAAGUUUCAGAAUCGUGCGGAGACGCCGGGAGUCGCCGCUGGUUUCGUGUCGAUAGAUCACAGAGGCUAUGGAGGCGAUCAACAACGAAGCGCUGAUCGCCUGCGUUGAGGCUCGACCUGCGCUUUGGUAGCAGGCGAAACACAAGCGCCACUAGAACAAGCACUUGACGAGGUGGUCGUGGAUCGUCAUGCCCAACGCUGCCGAACAGAUGACGUUAUCACAGCGCUGCAGAAGUGAUGGAAGUCCCUGGGGAAUAAAUUUCGGCGCCUGGGAAGACGUUGUCAGAAAGGAAAGAGCCGCGCCGUGCCAGUCGACGUUCACAACGACGUCAUCUGGCUGUUUUUCGACCAGAUGAUGUUUCUGCGCUACACAAUGGAGUGUAGACCGAUGUCCGCCAACCUUCCACCAGUGCCCCCAUCGAGUGAGGAGGGAAGUGCUGCAGACAUCUUAACAAAAAAUGUGCCAGUUUUCCGAUCUGGCAACACUUGAAGUGCCAUCACCGUCAAGUGAAGAGUCACAAGCGCCAGCAUCGACUCUGUCUUCGGCGUCGCAUGAGUCUGUGGAGUCUCAGGACAUUUUGGAAUCUCUUGAAUCACCGAUGUUUCAAGAAGUUCUGGUUCCUGAGGAUUCUGAGGCACACCACAGCAGUCCGCAGUCACAAGCAUCGCUGGCUUCAGCAGGCAGUCGUAGGCUGGAUACGUUAGGAAGCAUUGCUUCUGAAGCAAAGUCAAGGGGAGGAAAAGGAAAAAGAAAGAUUAGAGUCAGUUAAUAUUGGAGGAAUUAGGCAAUGUUUCAAGUGCAAUCAAAAGAUGCAAACCACAGGACGACCUUGAACUUUUGCCGUCUCUCUGCUCAAACACAUUAGAGAGGUCAGUGAGGAUACGCAUCUCGACUUGAAAAUUAAAUUGAUGCAAGUAGGAGAGUAAUUCAAAGAUUAAUGUUUUUUAAUGUAUACUUUUUGUAUAAUAAAGCCAAGAGACAAUGAAACAAAAGGAAAUCAUUGAUGAAUUUAAUUGCUUUAUAUCGAAAUGGAAAAAUAAGGAGGAAAAUGAAAGUAUAUGAAAAGGUAGCUUCCCACUAAUGGGAGACGAACCCACAACCUUUGAAUUAUGCUUGCAUUGCUUUACCAGUAGAGCUGCAGCAAUGGCUAUCCCUCUGCAAACUUUCUUGGGCCUGUAUGUGCAUGUACUAGAUCUCACCCUGGUAGUGUUAGCCAGUGCUACUCGUGCAAGAACACUCCAAGAGCCUAAUCUAGUACACAUAAACAUUCUAUGAAAUUGAUGGUGGAAUAGCCUCCAGCUCAAUUGGUUUUGGUUUUAGCUUCCACCAGUGGCAAG